AAGAAAAAAAAAAUAUCUUUAUUAGGUAUCAGAAUUCUCAUAAUUGUUGUUGACAAACUCAACACAAUGAAUCAGUCAGGCAAGACUCAAACACAAAUCACCAGCACAUCCCUCAGCCCUGUUGACUCACAGCUCUAAAACCACCCACAGAGUAGAUGAAGAAGGGUGGUUCCAUCUGUCCUAGGGAGCAGGCUUUGCAGCUGCCCCCAGAGCACUCCAUUCUAAGGUUUGGAACAUUCUAAGGGGUGGGGGUAUUAUGUAAGUUCAGUAGAGGGAAAGAGAAAAACAUUUCUCUAUGGAGACAGUAUAUAUAGGUGGAUUGGUUUUGUGUGUGUGUGUGUGUGUGUGUGUUGGGGAUAAAUGCUUUCCUAUAAAUAUUAGCAAUGAAUAUGAUUAUACAAAAAAAUCUGUGUAUAUGGGCAUAUGCCUACUGAGAAAUUACCCCUCCCCCAUACUUAUUUUUCUGGUUAAGGCUCCAUAUAUAUGGCCCCCAAAACUGUUCCCCCCACCCACCUUAUUGGGGACAGGAAGCGGUAGAGGUGAUAGAGAAAUUUACCUUUGCCUUUGUUAAAGGAUCAGUUUCUUUUCACUUAGACAGAGAUAUGGGCCUGGGCAGUCUCUGGCAGGGAAAGAAGAAUGUUACCAGUUUUUCUUUUGAUACAUUUCUAUAUCCAUUUUAAGACAUCUGGUGCUGCCACCGUGAGAAACCUAUGAGUCCCGUGGUCAUGAGGACCAUAUAGAUGUUGGUUUGUGUGAAUCCAUGGGGGUCUCCAUAGCAUAUUUGGUCAACAAACUGCCUCAAACAUGUCCUAUAUUUAAAAAAUCAUAUAGUAUUUUUUCAUCAUUUAAUUAGAGGGGCUGAAAUAGACAGGUAGGGGAGAAGAUGAUGUUAAGAAUUAAACGAAUGCCUUAGAAAAAGCAAAAAUCUUCAGGUUUCUGGAACAAUAGUUUACACAAGUAAUUUAAAAAAAAAAAUGCCCUUCCCAUGUAGAUGAUCAGUAGUAGGAACCUGGCAGGCCCUGUCCAUGGUGCCUGUGGUUUAAACUCUCAGGGAGAAAGGUGUUAGGUUUCCACCUAAAAGGGGGCAUUUCUUGGGGAGGCAUCUGGAGAUUGUACUGGCGGCAGGCACCUCAGUGACGGGCAGAGCCACGUCUGAUGGAAUUAUGGGGAAGCAAUUACGGAGAUGAGGCUCACUAAUGCGGACAACUUCGGGGUGGAGGACUGGUCAUCAGAAGCUUAAGCCAGGCCCCAAAGAACAGUAAAAGCAGCCAUCUCAGUGGGGGCGGGAGGGGAGCGCCAAGUAAGGGCCUUUUGGAAGGAGAACGAUUUUGAAGGCAGUGGCUGUUAAUACUUCUUAGGACAACCCUGCCUAAGGUUCAGGGACAAGAGAAGCUGCCUUCUUUUCUGCCCUCCAGCCAGGCUUGCCUUCUGGGACUUGAAGGACAGCACUGUGUCUGCAGUUUGCACAACAAGAACUGCAGCCUCACAUGAACUGUGCAGGUUCUGACA
rnacentral:lncRNA from 1 species